rnacentral:tRNA from 1 species
UCUAAUAUGGCAGAUUAGUGCAAUAGAUUUAAGCUUUAUAUAUAAAGGAAUUCCCUUUUAUUAGAA